rnacentral:tRNA from 1 species
CCUGAUUGAACUAUGUGGUAAAGUAUCUGCCUGCAGUGCAGGAGAUAGGGGUUCAAUCCUUGGGUCAGGA